AUGUUCAUGGGCGUACCGGAAGGAAAAAAUUAGGGGGGCGGAAAGAAAAUUGCCCGACUUUUCGUAAAAUUGCCCGACUUUUCGUGAUUUUGCCCGACUAGUACCAAAAAAUUUUUCCCGGAAAAUUUUUUUUGGCGACCCCCCCCCCCCCCGUCGCCAAAAAAAUUUCGGUCAGUGUACCAUUUUAGGGGUCAAAAAAAUUUUCCGGACGUACCAAAUUUUUGACAGAAUCACAUUAAUUU